rnacentral:rRNA from 1 species
UACGAGGGGGGCAAGCGUUGUUCGGAUUUAUUGGGCGUAAAGGGUGCGUAGGCGGUUUGGCAAGUCUUGUAUGAAAUCUUCGGGCUCAACCCGAAGCCUGCACAAGAAACUGCCGGGCUUGAGUAUGGGAGAGGUGAGUGGAAUUUCCGGUGUAGCGGUGAAAUGCGUAGAGAUCGGAAGGAACGCCCGUGGCGAAAGCGAGGUCCUGGACGUCUUCUGACGCUGAGACGCGAAAGCUAGGGGAGCGAACGGG